UACAAAUGGUCGCGUCUAUUUUGUUUCGUUAGCUGUGAAUACACAGAUGGAUACAUAAACAGUUUGAUGAUCGGUCAACCUGUAGGCCAGCUGCGGAGAUUAUAGAGUGCAUUGUGUUAUUUUCGGCGUGAUUUUUAACUCGACUUAGAGACUAACAUCAACAUCAUAGAACGUUCAUACUGCAUAUAUAUUUGGAUCGCUGAAAGUAUGAAACCACAGCAAUUACAUCAAAAAAGUUAUCUAACAGCACCGUUAAAUUUACGGUUAUUUGAAAUGAAGGAAUUUUAAAAGACGGAAAAAGAAAUCGUUCUGCCACAGACAGACUGAUUGCAUUGUAACCGGUCGAAGUUCGGAUGAAUGUGUGCACAUGACUAUCUAGCUACCGGAGUUUGGAGGAGGUGUAAAAUACCCCCGGAUUGGAAGGAUUAGACGUGUGUAGAACAAUAGGUUGGAUUGAUGACGAUAAAAUGUGGUUGAAUCAAUCGACUCAGUAGUCUUCCCCGUAGCAAUAAGCGAUCUUCAAGACGCAAUAGAAAUUUGAUAUUCGGUUUGGUGGAAUGCUAAGAAUAAAUAAAAAUUGUAGAAAUGAAAUCAAUUUAA